GGGCCGGUAACUCAGUGGUAGAGGUUUGUUUAUCCAUCCCGAAGUCACCGGUUCGACUCCGGUUCGGCCCU
rnacentral:tRNA from 1 species